rnacentral:rRNA from 1 species
UUGGAGGGCAAGUCUGGUGCCAGCAGCCGCGGUAAUUCCAGCUCCAAUAGCGUAUAUUAAAGUUGUUGCAGUUAAAAAGCUCGUAGUUGAAUUUCGGGGUCAGUAGGUUGGUCAUGCCACUGGUAUGUACUGGUCUCACUGAUUCCUCCUUCCUGAUGAACUGUAUGCCAUUAAUUUGGUGUUGCAGGGAAUCUGGACUGUUACUUUGAAAAAAUUAGAGUGUUUAAAGCAGGCUAACGCCUGAAUACAUUAGCAUGGAAUAAUGAAAUAGGACGUUCGAUCCUAUCUUGUUGGUUUCUAGGAUUGACGUAAUGAUUAAUAGGGAUAGUUGGGGGCAUUAGUAUUCAAUUGUCAGAGGUGAAAUUCUUGGAUUUAUUGAAGACUAACUACUGCGAAAGCAUUUGCCAAGGAUGUUUUCAUUAAUCAAGAACGAAAGUUAGGGGAUCGAAGACGAUCAGAUACCGUCGUAGUCUUAACCAUAAACUAUGCCGACUAGGGAUCGGAUGAUGUUAAUUUUUUAAUGACUCAUUCGGCGCCUUACGGGAAACCAAAGUGUUUGGGUUC